rnacentral:rRNA from 1 species
UACAGAGGAGCCAAGUGUUGUCCGGAUUGACUGGGCGUAAAGCGCACGCAGGCGGAUGCGCGCGUGGGGUGUGAAAUCUGGCCGCUUAACGGCCAGGCGCCAUCCCAUACGGCGCGUCUGGAGCUAUGCAGAGGUCGGUGGAAUUGCCGGUGUAGUGGUGAAAUGCGUAGAGAUCGGCAGGAACACCCAGGGGGAAACCAGCCGACUGGGCAUAUGCUGACGCUGAGGUGCGAGAGCGUGGGGAGCGAACGAGG